UUUUUUUUUUAUUUUCCCUGCCCUGACACUAUUCAAUCUUUAUAGUUCUUCCCCACUUUUACACUUUUGAGAAGAAUAUAGGAGCAAGAUAAAUGUACUCAUUGGAUCAAGAAUUAAAACAGCUUGUGAUCCACUAAAUAAAAGUAAAAAAUGAAGCUCCUAUCUACAUUGCUUUUUAAGAAAUAUCAACCACUACUUCCCAACAUAUGUCACAGGGUAGAUUUGGAGAUAUUUGCGUGUAUGUUUAUUUUUUUAAUUUAAUUUAAUUUUUUUAUUUUUCAGUACUCAAUGAAUUUAUUACAUUUAUAGUUGUACAAUGAUCAUCACAAUCCAAUUUUAUAGGAUUUCCAUCCCAAAACCCCAGUGCAUCCCCAACACCUCCUGAACUGUACCCUUUGGAAACCAUAAGUUUUUUAAAGUCUGUGAGUCAGUAUCUGUUCUGCAAAGAAGUUCAUUGUGUCAUUUUUUCAGAUUCCACAUGUCAGUGAAAGCAUUUGAUGCUGGUGUCUCAUUGUCUGACUGACUUCACUUAGCAUGAUAAUUUCUAGGUCCAUUCAUGUUGCUAAAAAUGCCAGUAUUUUGUUCCUUUUAAUGGCUGAGUAAUAUUCCAUUGUGUAUAUGUGCCACGUCUUCUUUAUCCACUCCUCUGUCGAUGGACAUUUAGGCUGUUUCCAUAUCUUGGCUAUUGAAAAUAGUGUUGCAAUGAACAUUGGAGUACAUGGGUCUUUUUGAGUCAUGGUUUUCUCUGGAUAGAUGCCCAGGAGAGUGGGAUUGCUGGAUCAAAUGGUGGUUCUGUUUUUAGUUUUCUGACCAUCUCCAUACUGUUUUCCACAGUGGUUGCACCAAUUUACAAUCCCACCAGCAGUGUAAUGGGGUUCCUUUUUCUCCACAUCCUCUCCAGAACUUACUGUUCAUAGACUUUUUGAUGAUGGCCAUUCUGGCUGGUGUAAGGUGGUACCUCAUAGUAAUUUUGAUUUGCAUUUCUCUAAUGAUGAGUGAUGUUGAACAUCUUUUCAUGUGUUUUUGGCCACCUUUACUGGUGAGCUUUGUCAUUUGUGAUAUUACUGUUUCCUGUUGCUGUCUUUUAUUUUCUGCCUAGAUAAGUUCCUUUAGUAUUUGUUGUAAAGCUGGUUUAGUGUUGCUGAAUUCUCUUAGCUUUUGUUUAUCUGUGAAGCUUUUGAUUUCUCCUUCAAAUCUGAAUGAGAGCCUUGCCUUGCUGGGUAAAGUAGUCUUGGUUGGAGGUUUUUCCCUUUCAUCACGUAAAAUAUAUCAUGCCACUCCCUUCUGGCCUGCAGAGUUUCUGCUGAAAAAUCUGCCAAUAACCUCAUCAGGGUUCCCUUGUAUGUUAUUUGUUUCUUUUCCCUAGUUGCUUUCAAUAUUUUCUCUUUGUCUUUAAUUUUGGUCAGUUUGAUGAAUAUGUGUCUCAGGGUGUUCCUCCUUGGGUUUCUUUUAUAUGGUACUCGUUGAGCUUCCUGGAUUUGAGUGAAUGGUUCCUUUCCCAUGUUAGGGAAGUUUUCAGCUAUUAUCUCUUGGAAUAUUUUUUCUGUCUCCUUCUCUCUCUCUUCUCCUCUGGCACCCCUAUGAUAUGGAUGUUGGUACAUUUAACAUUGUCCCAGAGUUCUCUGAGACUCUCUUCAUUUGUUUUCAAUCUUUUUUCUCUUUUCUCUUCCACAUCCAUAAUUUCCACUAAUCUGUCCCCCAACUUGCUUAUUCUUUCUUCUGCCUCCUGUAUUCUGCUAUUGGCUGCUUCUAGUGAAUUUUUUAUUUCAGUUACUGUAUUUUGCAUCUCUUCUCGUUUAAGUUUUAUAUCUUGUAUCUCUUUGCUCAGUGUUUCCUGUAAGUUAUCCAUCUUUGCCUCCAGUUUAUUUCCAAUGUCUUGCAUCUUCUUCAGAAUCAACAGUCUAAAGUUUUUCUCCUGGAGGCUGACAAUCUCCUGAUCGCUUAGCUUAUUUUCUGGGGAUUUUUCUUUCUCCCUUAUCUGAGUUAUAGUUCUCUGUCUUUUCAUUUUUAUAGGUUUUUGGUGUGGUGACCUUUUUACAGAUAAUAGAUUUGUAGCCUCUCUUACUUCCAGUGUCUGCCCCCCUUGUGCCUUGUCUAUUUUUUUAAUCAUUCUAAGGGACACUCUAACCCUUAAGACAUUUGAUGAUUUUAGAAUACUUUACAAUACUAAAAUCAUUAAAAUAUUUUAGUAAAAUCAUGAUGACAAUCUCGUUGUUCAAUUUAUAAAUAAUAAUUCUAGGAUUAAUGAACACAUGGUAACAG
rnacentral:lncRNA from 1 species